GAGGUCCUACGGGGGGCAGCAGUGAGGAAUAUUGGUCAAUGGACGCAAGUCUGAACCAGCCACGUAGCGUGCAGGAUGACGGCCCUCCGGGUUGUAAACUGCUUUUAGUUGGGAAUAAAAGGGGGCUCUUGAGCCCCGUAUUGUAUGUACCAUCAGAAAAAGGACCGGCUAAUUCCGUGCCAGCAGCCGCGGGAAUACGGAAGGUCCGGGCGUUAUCCGGAUUUAUUGGGUUUAAAGGGAGCGUAGGCCGGCUUUUAAGUCAGCUGUGAACGUCCGCGGCUCAACCGUGGAAUUGCAGUUGACAC
rnacentral:rRNA from 1 species